rnacentral:tRNA from 1 species
GCGCCGAUGGUUUAGUGGUAAAAUUCUCCGUUGCCAUUAGCAGCGUCGGGGAGCCGGGGGUUCGAUUCCCCCUCGGCGCA